AAUAACGGCGACCUGACAGGAAGCAAGAAACACAGCAUAGGUAGUGCACAGUGGACACCAACAUGAACACACGCGGACAAACCCAGACAACGGAAAAACACGCUUCAUCCUGCUCAUCUACUCGUCAUUCAUCGCAGAUCCAUCACAUGCACACAUGCGCGUGCACGUGCUUAACAGGAACAGGCAUAUGUGGCCCUCGCUGGAAACAGUUUGGACACCCCUGAUGUAAGUACGAUGUAUGCCAGUAAAUAAAUAACGCAAGUAAAUAAUCAAAUGUGGAAUAAUACCUUGAGACAAUUGUACAGUUAUUUAUUUUUGCAGCCCAGAUUUUAAGUAGGGCUAUCCAAAGUACAGCCUGGGGGCCUUUUUGGGCCCGCAGCUGUUUUUUUUUUUUUUUUUUUUUUUACUCUUGGCAUAUUGUAAAGAAAUACAAAUAAUUAUUAAAGAGAUAUACUAUUAGAUAUCGCACUAAUUUGCUUUGUCAUCUCUCAAGCAAAGGUAAGUGAUUAUUUGGAUAUGCAGAUCUUGUCCAAACAAGACCUAUACUGUUUCUUUUAUCACAAACCUUGAAUGAGAGAGUGCCUGAGGUUCAGUUGUUCACAUUUUGUCCUUUGCAAGUCACAAUUUGUCAACCAAAGCUUCAGAGAAACACCGCUAUUGAUUUUUAAAGAGUUCAAUGACAGGACGGCGGGAAUUGUCGGGGUUAAAGGUUGUCAUCAUUAGCAGGGCUUUGUUGUCAGUUCAGCACUUUUGAUUUUUUUUCCCCCCUUUUAACCCAUCCUCAAUUUCCAAUGACCGAUCUUACACGUAACAGUCCGAACAGAAGGGGAUAACUGCACAGAACACCAACCAUAGUGAUGCUUGUUCCAUAGUCCAUAGAAGAGAUAACAGGUAUUGCAUACACAUAUGGCAACUGCCUAUACUGCAUGCGUUGACCCAAAAUGAAUGACAUAACAUUAAACACAUAAUAUUAACGCCUGUGCAGCAAAGCAUGAUUGUGCAGCAGUAUGUGCAGAUUGAAACUUUGACUUGUUGGAAUGAAAUAUACUCAUAUUUUGACGAAAACUGGACGAAUGUAUGGCAUAACCGUGCAUAAACGACUGCAUGCUUUUAUUUUGAUGGCCAACAUCACAUUUGCCUGAACGUUGCCAAAGGGACUGGAAGAUGUCUUUUCAUUAAUUUUAUGUUUACGUGUACAUAUACAACAUGUGCAACUAAAUAUCCAGGCUGAAAACAGGAAGGAAAUACGGAAAUUAAAGUAAAAGUGAUUAACAAAAAAAAGAAAAGAAGUAUAAAAUGAAAUGAUGAAUGAGGGGUUUCCUAAAACAUCCAGAUCCUUAAUCGGACGCCAUAGUUCCAUGGUCUGUUUUGUCUGAGGUUGAAAAUAAAGAAAUCCACAUUGUGUCAUCCUUUUGGAACCACUCAUUUGGAAAAUACCACAGAAUGGAAGUUGGACUAUCUAAGUUGUUGGGUUUUGGACCGGUGUGAUACUACGAUACGAACGUCUGAUGGCGCUCAUGGAGGUCCAUUUGUGCGUAUGCUUGGACACGACUGUGGCUUCAUUUAUUCACUCAGACAGGCUGUAUGUACUGUGUGUGUGUGUGUGUGCACACAUGGAAGGACUUUAAAGUGCUGGAAUGUGAGCUGCACACACACACACACACACACACAGAUGCAACGCUUGUCCGUGAAGUGUUAUUGAUGGAGGAAUGUAUCAUCCUCCCACAUGCUGACACACUGCGUUGAGGAAGCUGCAAUGCAACCAACGAUGCUCUUCUCCCGACCAGUCUUACUUUUCCAUGCAAUGUCACUAAAUUCUAAUACCAUUCCGUAAAGGUAGGGGGUCUAGUUAGGAAGGGGUGCACACAUAGCAGCCAUGUUGAGCGACAAAACCCGCUCGCCUUGCAUCACCGCUGUUAGCCUUUAGCGUAAAUAACUACCUAGUUAUUCUUAUGUGUCACUUCAUUCAUUUGAUAUAUUUGUGAUUAAUUUGCUGCGAUCCUAACAAGGUAGAUUUUUUUCCUACAUUGACAUCGUUAUUUAAUUUUUAAAUUUAAUGACUUUGCCUUUUUUUUUUUUUAAACCACAAGAAAUUACAAUAAAAAAUGACUUUUUUGUACUGGAUGUCAUUAGAUUGUGUACCCAAUAUUGUGUGAAUAUGCUGUAUCACCACAAUAACUGCAAAUUAUAAGCAUAAUUCCCAAAACUGCACUUGUCGCCAAUAUUAAAUAUGAUAAGUCAAUCAUUUUCAACUUUUUGGACCGUUUUUAUGUCCUGAAGAGUACAUGAAGUAACAAUAAGAGUGCAUUAAGUUCAACCGUAACUACGUUUAUACAAAAUAUAAUGGCAAUACAUAGCAACACAACACAAAAAAUACUCAUUGUAUUGUUCAGAAAGCGACGCGCACCAAUCAGAAGCCUUUGGUUUAUGAUUAAGGCAGCAGUUGCCUAGCAACCAAACACCUAAAAAUGAAACAAGCUCAGAAACAGCCACUGAUGUCACUUUUUGAAACAUUUCACCACCACAAUAAGAGAACGGAAGAGAAACACAACGCAGACGUCGAUUCAAUGAUCAGCAUAAUAAUAAUGCUUCCAUCCAUUGGCUGUACCGCCAAUAAUAAUAAUAUUAAAUAUGACAAGAUUAGAUAAAAUGCAUGAAUGAAAUGAUAACUUUAUAAUUAAAACAGCAAAAAUAAAAUAGAAGUCAAUUACAAGUACAUGAUUUCCCCUUCCUCCUCUCCUCCAUGUAUGCCUCCAGGAUGCUUUUCAUACGGUGGUCAUGUGACAUCAAAUGGCCCUGAAUUCGAUGAAGAUGAUGAUGAAGGGGAUGCUCCCCCAGCAGUGAAUGUGAAGAUGAAUGACAGGCUGCAAGUUUGAUGACGAGAGAGUGAAGGAAUGAAAAUGGGACGAUGGAGGAUGUGGUCGUUACCCUGGAAACCAACUUUGGCGCCCCCCCCCUCCCUCCCCACCACCUUCUCCUCCUCGCCCCCCACCAACCCUCCCCCUACUCCUCUUUCUCAUC